rnacentral:rRNA from 1 species
AGUGAACGCUGGCGGUAGGCCUAACACAUGCAAGUCGAACGGCAGCACAGUAAGAGCUUGCUCUUACGGGUGGCGAGUGGCGGACGGGUGAGGAAUACAUCGGAAUCUACUUUUUCGUGGGGGAUAACGUAGGGAAACUUACGCUAAUACCGCAUACGACCUACGGGUGAAAGCAGGGGAUCUUCGGACCUUGCGCGAUUGAAUGAGCCGGUGUCGGAUUAGCUAGUUGGCGGGGUAAAGGCCCACCAAGGCGACGAUCCGUAGCUGGUCUGAGAGGAUGAUCAGCCACACUGGAACUGAGACACGGUCCAGACUCCUACGGGAGGCAGCAGUGGGGAAUAUUGGACAAUGGGCGCAAGCCUGAUCCAGCCAUACCGCGUGGGUGAAGAAGGCCUUCGGGUUGUAAAGCCCUGUUGUUGGGAAAGAAAAGCAGCAGGUGAAUACCCCGCUGUUCUGACGGUACCCAAAGAAUAAGCACCGGCUAACUUCGUG